rnacentral:rRNA from 1 species
GUGCCAGCCGCCGCGGUAAUACCGGCAGCCCGAGUGAUGGCCGAUUUUAUUGGGCCUAAAGCGUCCGUAGCUGGCCGCACAAGUCCAUCGGAAAAUCCACCCGCUCAACGGGUGGGCGUCCGGUGGAAACUGUGUGGCUUGGGACCGGAAGGCGCGACGGGUACGUCCGGGGUAGGAGUGAAAUCCCGUAAUCCUGGACGGACCGCCGAUGGCGAAAGCACGUCGCGAGAACGGAUCCGACAGUGAGGGACGAAAGCUAGGGUCUCGAACCGGAUUAGAAACCCCAGUAGUC